GAUGAACGCUGGCGGCGUGCCUAAUACAUGCAAGUCGAGCGAACAGACGAGGAGCUUGCUCCUCUGACGUUAGCGGCGGACGGGUGAGUAACACGUGACAACCUACCUAUAAGACUGGGAUAACUUCGGGAAACCGGAGCUAAUACCGGAUAAUAUAUUGAACCGCAUGGUUCAAUAGUGAAAGACGGUUUUGCUGUCACUUAUAGAUGGAUCCGCGCCGCAUUAGCUAGUUGGUAAGGUAACGGCUUACCAAGGCAACGAUGCGUAGCCGACCUGAGAGGGUGAUCGGCCACACUGGAACUGAGACACGGUCCAGACUCCUACGGGAGGCAGCAGUAGGGAAUCUUCCGCAAUGGGCGAAAGCCUGACGGAGCAACGCCGCGUGAGUGAUGAAGGUCUUCGGAUCGUAAAACUCUGUUAUUAGGGAAGAACAAAUGUGUAAGUAACUAUGCACGUCUUGACGGUACCUAAUCAGAAAGCCACGGCUAACUACGUG
rnacentral:rRNA from 1 species